AUUGAACGCUGGCGGCAUGCUUUACACAUGCAAGUCGAACGAAGUCUUCGGACUUAGUGGCGGACGGGUGAGUAACACGUGGGAACGUACCUUUUGGUUCGGAACAACUCAGGGAAACUUGAGCUAAUACCGGAUGAGCCCUUAGGGGGAAAGAUUUAUCGCCGAAAGAGCGGCCCGCGUUAGAUUAGCUAGUUGGUGAGGUAAAGGCUCACCAAGGCUACGAUCUAUAGCUGGUCUGAGAGGAUGAUCAGCCACACUGGGACUGAGACACGGCCCAGACUCCUACGGGAGGCAGCAGUGGGGAAUCUUGCGCAAUGGGCGAAAGCCUGACGCAGCCAUGCCGCGUGAAUGAUGAAGGUCUUAGGAUUGUAAAAUUCUUUUACCAGGGACGAUAAUGACGGUACCUGGAGAAAAAGCCCCGGCUAACUUCGUGCCAGCCGCCGCGGCAAUAC
rnacentral:rRNA from 1 species